GCCUGGGUGGCUCAGUCGGUUGAGCGUCCGACUUCAGCUCGGGUCAUGAUCUCACAGUCUGUGAGUUUGAGCCCCACAUCGGGCU
rnacentral:tRNA from 1 species